AUACGGAGGAUGCGAGCGUUAUCCGGAUUCAUUGGGUUUAAAGGGUGCGCAGGCGGCUCGUCAAGUCAGCGGUGAAAGCCCGGGGCCCAACCCCGGAAGUGCCGUUGAUACUGUCGGGCUGGAAUGCGGUCGAGGCGGGCGGGACGUGGCGGGUAGCGGGGGAAUGCGUAGAAAUGCCACAGAACGCCGAUAGCGAAGGCAGCUCGCCAGGCCUGCAUUGACGCUCGGGCACGAAAGCGUGGGGAUCGAACAGGAUUAGAUACCCUGGUAGUCCACGCCGUAAACGAUGGGCGCUCGUCGUCGGCGGCAGAAUGUCGGCGGCCAAGCGAAAGCGAUAAGCGCCCCACCUGGGGAGUACGGUCGCAAGGCUGAAACUCAAAUGAAUUGACGGGG
rnacentral:rRNA from 1 species